CCUACGGGUGGCAGCAGUGAGGAAUAUUUGUCAAUGGACGAGAGUCUGAACCCGCCAAGUCGCGUGAAGGGUGACUGCCCUAUGGGUUGUAAACUUCUUUUAUAUGGGAAUAAAACGUUGCACGUGUGGCAUUUUGUAUGUACCAUAUGAAUAAGGAUCGGCUAACUCCGUGCCAGCAGCCGCGGUAAUACGGAGGAUUCGGGCGUUAUCCGGAUUUAUUGGGUUUAAAGGGAGCGUAGGUGGAAUGUGAAGUGAGUUGUGAAAGUUUGCGGCUCAACCGUAAAAUUGCAGUUGAAACUGGCAGUCUUGAGUACAGUAGAGGUAGGCAGAAUUCGUGGUGUAGCGGUGAAAUGCUUAGAUAUCACGAAGAACUCCGAUUGCGAAGGCAGUUCACUGGACUGCAACUGACACUGAGGCUCGAAAGUGUGGGUAUCAAACAGGAUUAGAUACCCGGGUAGUC
rnacentral:rRNA from 1 species